UACGAGAUUGCAAUGAGAACAAUUUAAACCUCUUAUCGAGUAACAAUUGGAGGGCAAGUCUGGUGCCAGCAGCCGCGGUAAUUCCAGCUCCAAUAGCGUAUAUUAAAGUUGUUGCAGUUAAAAAGCUCGUAGUUGAAUAUCUGGCCGGUGGUGUGCGUGGCUCCCGUAGUCUGUACAUCGCCUGGUUAUCCGUAUGGGAAACCAGCUCGACCUUCACUGUGUCGGCUGGCGGAUCAUACACUUUACUUUGAAAAAAUUAGAGUGUUUCAGGCAGGCAAUUGCUUGGAUACUGUAGCAUGGAAUAAUGGAAUAGGACUUUGACCUAUUUGUUGGUUUCUCGAGGUCAAAGUAAUGAUUAAUAGGGACAGUUGGGGGCAUUCGUAUUUAAUUGUCAGAGGUGAAAUUCUUGGAUUUUUUAAAGACGAACUUAUGCGAAAGC
rnacentral:rRNA from 1 species